UGACGGGGAGGGAGUCAUGGGGAAACUCAAACAAAGAGUCUGAUAUAUAUGAUGUAAGGAAGGGUGGGGGGUGGGCAAAAAGGCACGAGAAAGGGCCACUAGGAAGUAAGAGUAGAGUUUUGAAGAAAUGAGAGAAGAGUCUAGCCAAACUAAAAGAGCAAAUUAAUAUAAUCUCUCUGCAGAAUGCUGCAAAGCAACAUCGUCUAGAUCUGAAACAUGAGAUCAAGCCGAAGUUGGUUUGCUGCACUCUGCUGGGAGAUUAGAUUAGUUUCCUCUUUUAGUUUGGCAGCCUCUUCUCUUGUUUCCUCAAACUUUUCUCUUACUUCCUUUUGUCCCUCUCUUAUGCCUUUUUGUCCCUCGCUAAUCUCACCCAUCUCAGAUUUUAAGUGUCAAUAUAGGUCAUUGAUCGAGGAAUGACCCUCGAAAUAUAUACCAGACUCUUUCUUGAGUUGCUCCAUCAUGUUAUUUUGUUCAUCAGAGAGUAUCAAACCUUUAAAAUAGAAUGGUUAUUUUCCUGACACCAGCCUGUCCUCUUGGUUCUGAAGCUGAAGUUCCAUUUCCAUCUUCAACGAAUCACUAAUUUAUCAGGAAUUUUUAUGUUCUUUGAAGUCAAAAUAAUCAAAAGAACAAUAAAAGGUGUUUGUUCUGAUGGAACGGAAAGUGAAAAAGCAAAAGCAGGGGAGAAAAGAAGAAGAUUGUUUUCCGUACACGGAAUGGUCGACAAGAAAGAAAAUGGGAUCCGGGAAAAGACAACGCAGAGGUACAGUUCCAGGGAGGUGGUGCCCUUCUCGCUGCGAGAUCUAUUGGCAGCCCCUCCUGGCUGCAGCUCAACAAGUGGUAAAAAUAUGCUCUCCUUGUUUGGAAAGCCUAAAAGCAAGCGAGGCAGCAGUCCAGGUAGGGCUGCCGAUAGCAACAAGCGACAAAUGAUCCACAAAGAAACCAAAAAUAAUCCUAUGGUUUAACACGUGACUGUCACUCGUCUUGUAAUAUCUUGGACCUUACAUUGAGUGAUCUUUCACCAGAUCCAUCCCUUCUCCAGCCUUUCCGAGUGUUUCCUUUUGGGCCAGUGACGAUGGAGGAAUGAGGAGGAAUGUAAACAUUAUGUGUAGCUCUGAACUAGUAUGCUAGAGGUCCAAUGAGGUCUGUGUAAACCAUGGCCUACCCAAGCUGAUGAAACCUGUCUGAAGAUUAACAAUUGCUGUCUUUUCUAGGUUCAACUCCACGAAAACAGAAACUGGGUCGACUGAAAAUAGCCCGGAUCAGUAAGCCCUACCGAAACGCACUCCCGUAGCUCUCAGAGAUUGAUCUCCGAAACAAAAGGCAACAAGAAAGAAGAAUAAAAUCCAAUCAUAUCUUUCACAAAUGUGAACCCAUCUCCUCGAAGUAAUAUCCCAAUUAAUAAUUGCUGGGUUUUGUCCCUCUUGAGAUAUAUAUACAUUUUUUUUUUUUGCUUUCAGUCAACCUUUUUGGUUAUGUAGCCAGCAGGACUUGAUUACCAACAGUUCCUUUCCAGAAAAAGGUUUUCGUGGCCUUCUACGUUUUAAGUCCAUUUAUUUUCUAGAUGGCUACUUGGAUUACCGAAUAUUUUAAGUUUUGAUACCCCGUCC